AGGAACACGGAAGAACACGGAAAAAGAAGAAGAAAAGUAAAGUAUUUCCAGAAGCAGGAAAUAAUCUAAUCUACACCAAACACUGUGGAUUAUUUACACCAACAAACGGAAUCGGGACACUGGGAUUAUUAGGAGGAGGAAAAUCAGUCAUAACAUUGUGUAUAUUGUGUAGUUAGUGACUAGCUGUAAUUACCAAACGUAAUGAGAAACAGAAAGUAAAAGCUUCCUGCAGUCCGGGUGUUGCUGUAAUAUGUCACUGUUAAUGACGGGGACAAAAGCAGCUCAUAAACUUUAUCUAAUUCACACUGAAUCACAGGAAAUGUUCUUCUGUCUCUGAGAAAAUCUGCCAACACUCCACAAGAGUCUUCCAGACAUCAUGUCCCUCCUUUAUAUUUCCAUCUUAUGGGUCUGUGCCUUUGUGGACAGUGCAGAAUCUCUGGUUACUGUAUCAGCUCCAGUGGGUUCCACAGUCAUCCUGCCGUGUAAACUGACUGAAGAGUUCAAAAAUACAUCAGUUAUUAGGUGGCAGUUCAAUAAUGACAUUGUGUUUGAGAGAAGCAGUAAUGGUACAUAUUCAGGUUCAGGAUAUGAAGGACGUGUGGAUGUUCCUGUGGACGAGCUGCGUAAAGGAAACUGUUCCCUGGUGUUGAAGAACGUCAGAUUUACUGAUGACCAAAUCUACAAAUCCUUUACAAUGGUACCUGUGGAAAAAAACACUGGGGAAAUGAAAGAAAUUAACAGUGUUAGACUCUCAGUCUAUGCUCUCCAGAUAUCAGCUCCAGUGGGUUCCACAGUUGUCCUGCCGUGUGAUUGGAGUCAUCUGUCCAUCAAAACUCCUCAUGUUAAGUGGUUUAUCGAUUCUGAGACUGUGUUUGAGCGAAAGGGUAAAGAUUCAUAUGUGGGUGAAGGAUAUGAGGGUCGUGUGGACGUUCCUGAGGACGAGCUGCUUAAAGGAAAAUGUUCCCUGGUGAUGAAGAACAUCAAUGUUAAUGAUACAGGAAUCUACAGCAGCUACAUGUUAAUUACAGACACACAGGAAUCUGUCUUGGUCCAGAAGGUUAAACUGUCAGUUGUUGACCACAGUGUUCAUGAGGGAGGAUCUUCAUUAGAGGAUUCAGACUCACACCAGACUGGAUGGAACAACUGGAUUAUUUUACCUGUUGUGAUUGUAACCGUCAUCAUCAUCGGUGUGUUUGUGUACUGCAGCAGGGUGGAAGGUCGCCGACGUGCCAGAAACUCCACUGAACAGAUCAUCUUAAACUUCAUCCCUGAGCUACUGAGCUGAUGUUCAUCUCUGGAGCUUCAUCACCAUGUCAGGAUCUUCUGAUUUACUGCAGAACUCUCAGAUCACACAUCAUGGACCAUCAGUUACUCUUCUAUCUACCCUGACUUGGUCUUGGUCAUGUGAUGUUACACUAAAUAAUGAACUGAGAACAACAGGAAUUUUUACUUUUAUAUUUUUAUUUGUUGUUUUAUUUUGAUGCAGUUUGUUGUGUUUACAUUGCAGCAGUGGACACAGUAUGUACAAUGGCUGAAGUCAUGUGUAGGAACUUUAUAGUUGAGGAGGAACCUGGGUUCAGCUCCUCUCAGCAUUUAUUAAUUUCCUACCGCUAGAUUUCAGUGUGUUUCAUUUACACUGUGAACAAGUGUACAACUGUGAGGAGCAGUAGAACAUUUCAGUUUAACUUCUCAGGGAUUUUAAUGAGAUCUGGCAUCACAGAAAAGAGAGAAGAUCCUACAGGAAGAGGAACAGAAAGUAAUGCAGUGUGGACAAUGUUGAAUUGUCUUCUUAUUUAAAGCCAGUCAGAAUUUCAUGAUAUUUAUCAUCUGUUUCAAACGUACAUGAAGAUCCUCAGCCCAUAAUUACGCCUGACACUAAAAUGUGUUUAUUCCUCAAACUGUGCCCUUAAAGCUGGAAACACAGAAUUACAUAUGAUGUGUUUUAUGCUGUAUGUAGAAGUGAUGACUCUGAAAUGUUCAGUCCUUUAAAUCUGGUGACUCUGUUUAGAGAGUAAGGAGAGUUACAGCUACUAACUUUAAUGUUAAUAAACUUUAAACAUGGGAACAGGUCACGUGUGUGUGUGUGUGUGUGUGUG